UACGGGGGGAGCAAGCGUUGUUCGGAUUUACUGGGCGUAAAGGGCGCGUAGGCGGCCACCGCAAGUCGGUUGUGAAAUCUCCGGGCUUAACCCGGAAAGGUCAAUCGAUACUGCGGGGCUAGAGUGCAGAAGGGGCAACUGGAAUUCUCGGUGUAGCGGUGAAAUGCGUAGAUAUCGAGAGGAACACCUGCGGCGAAGGCGGGUUGCUGGGCUGACACUGACGCUGAAGCGCGAAAGCUAGGGGAGCGAGCGGG
rnacentral:rRNA from 1 species